CUUGGCUGCUGGGUGAGCUGGGCUUCAUCUUUGAGGCUGACUUUGUGACUACUGUCCUGCAUAACUUUGUGUGCUGGGUCAAGAGGUGUAUGAAGAUGGGAUGGCCGCCUUCCUGGUGGAACGCAGAAGUGAAAUACUGCAGGAGAAAAACGACAUUAGAUGUGAUGCAGCAAGCAUGACAAGAGUAUGAAUUAGUGGAAAGCUUCCCUCAGGAAAUGUAUCCAGGUAAGCAUUCCCAGGCCCUGUGGUACCGGGCUUGCCUGGCAAGGUUUUGUUAGUGGGUGGCUCCUGUGAGAAUCUGCUGAAGCUUCCCCAUGUCGGACAGAGCUGGCUCCAGGAUGGACCUGCCAACUGGCCAAGGCCAAGCCCACCAGCCACAGUGGUCGCACCUCUGGGAUAUCCUCUGGGAUAACGUGUUUAGGAAGGGGGAACAAAACUAACCGCUGCACAACAGCACCUGCAACCAAGGGGACCAAGAAUAUGAAACCAACAGCUCUGCAGACACCGGGUCAAGGGGAGGGGAGCAGGAGGUGCUCCAGGUGCCAGAGCAGAGCUGCACCUCUGGGAAGGGACCCACAGUGGAGGAGUUGAUAAAGAACUGCUGCCUGUGAGGAGGACUCGUGUCAGAUCCUGUGGGAUGGCUCCCAUGCUGGAGCAGGGAGAGCAGUGUGAGGGGUCUUACCCCAAAGGAGAAAGGAGCAGGGGAGGCAACAUGUCAUAAACUGACCACAAUCGCCAUUCCCUGUGCCCCAGCACUGCUGAGCAGGGAAGAGGUAGAGAAAAUUUACAGUAAAGUUAGGACUGAGAAGGGGAGGUGUGGAGGGAAGCUGUUUUUAGAUUUGUUCUUAUUUCUCAUUAUCCUAUUCUGAUCUGAAUUGGUAAUCAAUGUCAUUUUUUUUGCCCCCAAGCUGAGUUUGUUUUACCCAUGCUGUUAAUUGGUGAGUGAUCUCUCCCUGUCCUUAUCUUGACCCAGGAGCUUUCAUUUUAUUUUUCUCUUCCCUUUCUUGCUGAGGAGGGAUGUGAUAAGAGCAGCCCUGGAGGGCACCUGACAUCCAGCCAAGGUCAACCCUACAUACCUUUUCUGAUCUAUCAAAAUGGAGAUUUACACUCUGUCUCGUUGUUGACAUUACUGAUGUUGAGCUCUGAAAAAUGCAGUAACUAAUUGGCAUCUCAUUGACAGUCUCAGUGGCAAGGCCUUGACGAAAAUAGAUAUGGGGAAUAAAUCACUCCAUCUCCCUUCUUGCAAAGUUUGCUUCCUGCUGUAGGGAAUAGGCCUAAUCUUCUGCAUCUUGGUUGAAACCAUUUCAGAUGGGUCUGUGGAGCAAAAAAAAGAGGAGAAACAAGGUCAUCAUGUAGUCAAAGGAACAAACAGAGCUCUGAUAAAUAUUGAGCUGAUUUGCUAAAAUAAGUAUUAAAAGCAUUCAGGGUCAUUAUGACUCUAACCCUGAGCAGUAGUUAUGGACAAGUGGCAAUAGGGACCCGAAAUGCUGUGAAAAGAAAGACUGAAACAAACUGAGGUAACAGGAGAAAUUCAAUGAAAUGGAAAGAGCAGGAAUCCCUGAAGCUGCAUGUAGAGUGAAAACUUUAGAUCAAUGGUCUGGAAAGCCUUUGUCAUGAAUAAAAUAGAUCCCUGCGUACAGGGGCACAAGGUGGAAAGCAUAGAGAUGCUUGAAAAACUAGCAUAUGGGUGACCCAGCUGCUCAGUAAGCUCUUUAAACAGGUAGGGAAGUGUGGCAAGGAGCUGAGCAACCUGUGUGAGAAAGCAGGAACAGGGCACGUAUGGCAGGGGCACAGAGAGAGGAGUGCUCUGGGGACUGCCAGCAAAGCAAGCCAGGAGGGCAGAGCAGCAGUAGGUUGUUGAGUGUGUCUGAGCUGGAACCAGAUCUGGAAACGGGCCUGUUAUUGCAGGCACUUCAGAGCAUUAGUCUGGACAGAAAGGAGAGGCUUAAUGGCUUUGGCAAACAGCUGUGAUAAAGCUUGGAGUUUACCAUGUGCUUCAGCAGAGCAAAAAUAUUUGUGGCACCUCCAUUCUUGCUCUUCUCUAGAAUCACAUCAGAAAUUAUGCACGCUGCAUUAAUGUAUGUAUCUUUGUGAAAUGCACCCCAUCCUCCCCUUAUUUCAAACCAACACGGAAAGUAUGCAUCUGAAAUAUCUUUGGCAGCAAGCUAAGCAAGUUCUAUCACGAUAAGCUCUUAAGUAAAUACUGAACAGUUGCUAAUUAAAGUGAAGGGUAUAGUCCUUGAUUUUUCAGUUAACACACCCAACAUAUAGUAAUGCCUUAAUUAUUUUUGUACCUAAAUAUACUUGAGAGAAAUCUGCCAGUAUGGCAGUGAGCUUUAAAAGGCAGGUGAUUCUCUGUAUUUUCAGUGGUAGGGUAAUGGUGGAUUUAACUGAAAUUGAAGGGAGGCUUUCAUGGAGAUGUACCAUAGUCUGAAAAUCUCUGGCUUUAAAUAAUCUUGGCUCAUCCUCUUAUUUUCCAUUUAUUUUCACUUUACUCUCAGAUGAGCCACUGUCAAUCAAUUACUUGCCCCUUAAUCAGCCAUGUGGGCAACUAGUCUGCAAGACAGGGUGUUGGUCUUCUGUCAGUAGUUCUGUCCAUGGAGAUAUCAGCAUUCUCUGCUGUGAAGAUGCCGGCGGCUUUGCUGCUCUCUGGACUCCCGAGUGCCUAAUGACAGCCUGCUGUUUGCCUUUUCCCAUGGCAGCACUCCUAAUGGCCAUUCCCGUGGAAACCUGCUCCAAAAAGGAUACACCAAUACAAAUGAGGGGUAAUGGUUUAAAUCGCUCAGUAGAGGAAUUUUUCAGGAGUGCUUAGCAUUAGAGCUUGUCAGGAUUGUCCCAAAUGUUUUUAAUCAGAAAAUGCUGGCUUAUGGUAUCACAAAGUUUGUGCAUGUUUGCAGGAAGUCAGCUGCAAAAUGUAAAAAAACCCCAAAAAGGUCAGAUUUAAGGCAUUUUCAGGCCAACAUGUGCUGACUGAAAAGUUUGUCCUCUAGCCGGAAAUGAAUUUUAAAAGCAUGUCUUACUUUGGAGAUUUUUUACUUUGAUUUCUGAUCAUAUUUGGAACAAAUUCAAGUAUUAUUGACUUGAGCUAAAACUGUGUAUUUAGAGUGUGCUUUUAUGUUUUUUCAGUUUUAGUAUUAAUAUCAAUUUGACAUGGGGAGUACUUUUUGUAUUUUAUAUUUUCUCUUAUGCAGGUAAAAUGAUCUCCUAUCUAUCUCUAUUGAAUGCUCAUCUAAAUAUGUUCCGUUUUAGUAAAAUGGGUUGGGGUUUUGUUUUGGGCGGUUUUUAGUGUUUGUUUUUUGUUUGUUUGAUUUUUUUUUUUCUUUUUUUCCUUAUUCCCAGUGGGAGAAAAUUAUAGGAAAACUCAGAAUGCCUUUGAAAAACCUUUCUUAUAUUUUUGCAAUAGAAAUCUUACUACGUUUUGGAUUUUAAUGCUGAAAAGUGUAUUUCCCUUUAGUAUGAGGGCUGUGAAGUUGUCUUCUCUUUGGAGGGGCUGGGGAAAUGUGGACACAGGUCCAUUGAAGUUAGUUUCUACCGGUAAGCCACAAAAUUCAAGCCACAAACCAAAGUAAUUGGGCUGAGAAUUGCUCUAGCAGUUGGCUGCUAAUUCUGAAAAAUAAUCUACCACCUGUUGUUUAGUCUGUAGGAUUAAAGAAGGUUUAAUGUUUGAGGCAAGAGGCAUUUAUUGCUCCAGAUGGAGCACAAUUUUUUAAAAAAGCUAUGGGUGAGGAUCAGUUCAGUGCAGUAGUCUACCUCCUUUACAAAGGUAUCUUGAUACAAGCCACAGCACUCUUAAUAGCAACCUGUGGGCAGAGAUGUUUUCCACCUUCAGAAAUUGUUUUCUCUAUUUAGAAUUCAUCACAGAUAAGAUUAUCACAAUGCUUUAAUAGCUACACUGUGCAAUUGUCACUUAUUUUUUCCACUGUGUAUGUCAUCAGAUUUUAAUAAUAGGCAAUAAUAUUAUUGUCCUACUUAAGAAUGUAAUCAAAGAUGUGUUUGAUGCACAGGAUAAACAGUGGAGAGGAAAAUAUGAAAAUUCAAGGGUAAUUUUGUUUGGGUUCUGUUUACUGAUCAUCCAGAAGAAGGAAAUACUGGCAAUGGGAAACUUUCAGUAAUCAGUGGUAUGAAAUCAAUGCAAAGACAGGAUAAGGUCUAUUAGUUGGAAAGACUAGAGCAUGUUGCUUGGAAUAUUUCUGCUCAGCAAAAAGCAGAAUAUAGUUUUCUGAUAGACAUGUGAUUUUUGUGACAGAAGUGGUUUCAGGGAAUAUUUCCCAUUUUGGAGAGAAGGUCAUGGAGGGAUGGGAGAAUACCUUCUGGUAGGGCUAGAAAAGGGACUUUACUGUCAGUCAUUUGUUCAGGGCCUGGAACACUUACAAGGCCAUAGAAAUGUGGGUCCAUUCCUGGCCUGGGUCAGGCUGGGAUAUAAAUUUGAGGCCUUGGGUGGCCUCAAGGGGGAACUUGACUAACGUCAUGCAGAGGUGUAUGUUGUCACAUCAGGCAUGUUGGUGUACAGUCAAGUUGCACACGUGAUGCUCUGGAGUUGAUAACCAGGAUGUUUGCCAAGAGCCCCUCACACACAUGCGGUGCCCUAUCCUUGGGGCAGAUUUUGGGAUAUGUUAAAUAUAAAUCCUAUCCAUGCAGGAUAGGAUUUAUUAAGAAUCUCAUCUAGCUUCUGGUCAUGCUUUGUACUGAGCGUUUUUUUCCAGUCCUAUUUCCCUCACAGACUCAAAGUUUCCCAUCUGGUCACUCUCGAUCGCUGUUUUCUCCAGUCAGGUUCAUUGAGCUGGGUGUGUUAAGGCUGGAAAUCUGCAGUGACACAGUUCACUGUAAUCACAGCAGUCCUGCUCUUUCUGGUGCUAUUCCCUGGCACCUCCAGUGUGCACAGCCUGUUCAGCUUGCGGAGUCAGCAGAAGACAGGAGAUUUACUUGGUUUGCCUUUACGGGGAUUUUGUUGCUUAUUUUUCAACCAACUGAGCAGGCUGGACACAGGGAACUUGUGGGACUUCCCAGCAUGAGAUGGCACUAAGACCCCAAAAAUUUCAGUCUGUUGUUAAGCCAGGGCCUCGGGUCUUUUUGUCAAAGAAGUGAUCCCAUCCUGUUGGAUGAGUCCUAUGGUAGCUGGAACAAGGCAAAAAACUUGUUGCCUCUUGUUCAGCUACAGCUUCUGUAAGAAAACAGAAGGCAAUG